GGAGGGCGUGGCCCCUGUCUAAGGCCCCACCCCCACAGACUUAAGUGAAGACCCGCAUUCCUACUUUCUAUCCCAAAUGUUGCGUUUUCUAAGACCACUCUGGCCCGCCAUACCUCCAUCCUGGGCCUAUAAAAAUCCGAGACCCUAGCAAGACAGAAACGGAAGCUGCUGGACGACGAGAUGAAAAUAUCGGCCAAAGAAGACAAGCCACCGGACAUUGAGAGGACAUCGAGGGGAGCCCCCGCUUGUCGCACGCCCUGCCACAGGGAUGAGGGAACCUCUCCAGUUUCAAUAUGUGGAUAUAGCAGCAAGUUCCAGCUAAAGAAUUAUGAGUAAAAGUGACAUGCUUCACGGCCUAUCAUCUCCCCCAACUUUGCCAUGGACACCAACAAUGCUUGGGAUGAUUGCUGACCUAUCAACAUAAAUCCUUAGGAGAAGAUGAUGGGCUGAGUUGACAGCUAAACUCAGUAUUAGGUAAUUGAAUGUUUCAUUUGAUUGUAAAAAUUUAGGGUGUAUUUUUAAUGACGAAUAAGUCACUAAAUUCUACCAUAUUUUUCCAUAGUUUGAUAAGACUAUCAGAGUUUUUAUCUUAAGAUGACUAUUCACAGCACAGAUGUACAUAUCAGUUUAUCCCUGUAUGAUGCUUUACAAUCAUUUCACUGCCAACAUUCAGCCAAUGUCUCUAUUUGUGUUUUGAAAAAACUUCACCUGUGAUUAAUGUGUACAACUGAUUUUUGUUUAUGUGUUGUUAACAUUUGAGAAGUUAUCCAUCUAUGAAAGUAAUAGCACAUUGAAAAGAUUGGUCCUCUGAGUUUCAAAUAGCAAGGGGAAAAUAAAUGGAGCUGUGGGAAAUUUCAGGAAGGCUAAAUAAACCAAAUAAAGUUCAACUUCCAUCUGAGUCUACUAGUCAAUAUUUUAAGCCAUCUUCUGGAUGGAAAGGAAAAGUGGAAAUUUACACUAUUGUACAAUUGUUAUUUUGUUAAAUACUAUCUGUACUAAUAGACUAAAGGUCUCCUGUUAGGGGUGAUGUGAUAUGUUAUUAAAUAUAAGGGAAUUAGAAUGAAUUAUAUUAAAUCUACUGUGAGAAUAUGCCUUGUGACUUUUCAGAUAAAGUCCAAAAAUAAUUUAAAAUUUGGGAUAAAGAAGAGGACGCUUAUCAUUGGCUUUUACUAGUUGCUUGUUAACACAUGCACAAAAUCAUAUUUACUCAUUUU
rnacentral:lncRNA from 10 species